rnacentral:hammerhead_ribozyme from 1 species
AUCCAGAUGACGAGUACCAAAUAGGACGAAAUGUGCAUCUUGGAU